rnacentral:rRNA from 1 species
CUUCGGGUGAAGGUGGCGGACGGGUGAGUAACGCGUAAAGAACUUGCCUUACAGACUGGGACAACAUUUGGAAACGAAUGCUAAUACCGGAUAUUAUGAUUGGGUCGCAUGAUCUGGUUAUGAAAGCUAUAUGCGCUGUGAGAGAGCUUUGCGUCCCAUUAGUUAGUUGGUGAGGUAACGGCUCACCAAGACGAUGAUGGGUAGCCGGCCUGAGAGGGUGAACGGCCACAAGGGGACUGAGACACGGCCCUUACUCCUACGGGAGGCAGCAGUGGGGAAUAUUGGACAAUGGACCAAAAGUCUGAUCCAGCAAUUCUGUGUGCACGAAGAAGUUUUUCGGAAUGUAAAGUGCUUUCAGUUGGGAAGAAGUCAGUGACGGUACCAACAGAAGAAGCGACGGCUAAAUACGUGCCAGCAGCCGCGGUAAUACGUAUGUCGCAAGCGUUAUCCGGAUUUAUUGGGCGUAAAGCGCGUCUAGGCGGCUUAGUAAGUCUGAUGUGAAAAUGCGGGGCUCAACCCCGUAUUGCGUUGGAAACUGCUAAACUAGAGUACUGGAGAGGUAGGCGGAACUACAAGUGUAGAGGUGAAAUUCGUAGAUAUUUGUAGGAAUGCCGAUGGGGAAGCCAGCCUACUGGACAGAUAC